GCAUGGUUCGCACGUAUGUUGUUCGUGAAAGGAUACAGUGACGCGAAGGAUUAAGGAGAAGGAGGCAGAGAAGAAGCAAGGAUGGAGGGGUAAAUCACGAUGCGAGGAUGAGGGACGAGGAACAGGGAGAGAAAGGGAAGUUUGUCCCGGGUCCGCCAUGCGGAAACCUAUCUCAGCCUGGUACUCCACGAGUCCGCGGGUCAACAUCUGCCCUUUGGACUCGCCAUUCGUUGAAAUUGCAUCCAACUGGACACUGGACAGAAGACUCGAUCCGGUGAAAACCGGUCGAGAGAAAGGGAGGCUGCCGAACGACGAGUUUACAUCGAGCAAAUGGAAACGCGCGAAGUGUUACGAGACGAAGGGUGGGUCAGAAACGUCGUCACGUUGUUACACAGUGGCCCGUGUGUACGCUAUCCCAUGGGGAGAGCGAAGGUAGCACGUAGCACACCCCUGGGACGUCUUCAGUCGUCACUUGUCCGUAUUAAACCAGGGUACUAAUCCCGAAAUUUAAUUUGAAAAUCUUUUCAUAGCAUCGUCGUUCAUCCCUUCUUCUUGUCCAUCUUUCUCCAGCUCUCCCUUCCGCGUGUUCGCUAUGCACCGCGAAGUCGUUUUAAACCCAGAGAAUUACCCGGUCUUUUGUGCGUCGUAAUUGAAAAUUCGUUUCCGCCCCUUUUCGCGGCUCGGAGAACGGAUAAAUGCCCUUUCGUGGAUUCAUCGAGAGAAAUUACCUCGUCGCCGUGUGAAUGAGACGACCCGUCGUCUUCUUGUCGUCUUCUUCUUGGUCCCGUUCCGCGAGACGCCCGAUUUCCUCGUUUCGGCCUGGCUGCCAUUUUAUAAACGAAACUACGUAAAUACGAGACGAGCUAGUGAAAGCAGCCGGAUGAUUAACGAAACAAAUGCUAGUUUCCUCGUCGUUUUCGUGCUGGUAUCGCAAACAUUGUUAGGAAAAAUUGAAUCUGUCUCGUGACAAUGGAUAAUUAAAAACUCACGGAGUAUCUCGUCAUUGAAUAACAGAUUGUUAUCAAGAAAGUAAUUAUGUACUGUCUUAAAUAUCAUUAAAGAAAUACUACUAAUUAAUAAAUUCUCCUUUGAAAGUUUAUUCAUAAGGUGCAAUCAUUUGUUAGUCAUCCGUAAUUCAGGAUGUGAAAUCGCAUAGUAAUCCCAUCCUAUAUUACGAGUCAAUUUGAUACGUCACCCUUCACUUUGCUCUACCUAUCAUUCCCAGGAAUCAGCG
rnacentral:misc_RNA from 1 species